CUGUGCACAGAGUACUGGACUAUACUCUCCCAAGCACUUAGUACAAUGCUCUGUACGCAGCA
rnacentral:pre_miRNA from 1 species